rnacentral:rRNA from 1 species
GAGGGAUUGCCCCAGUAACGGCGAGUGAAGCGGCAACAGCUCAAAUUUGAAAUCUGGCCCCCCCGCGGGGUCCGAGUUGUAAUUUGUAGAGGAUGCUUUUGGUGAGGUGCCGCCCGAGUUCCCUGGAACGGGACGCCGCAGAGGGUGAGAGCCCCGUCUGGCUGGCCGCCGAGCCUCUGUAAAGCUCCUUCGACGAGUCGAGUAGUUUGGGAAUGCUGCUCAAAAUGGGAGGUAUAUGUCUUCUAAAGCUAAAUAUUGGCCAGAGACCGAUAGCGCACAAGUAGAGUGAUCGAAAGAUGAAAAGCACCUUGAAAAGAGGGUUAAACAGUACGUGAAAUUGUUGAAAGGGAAGCGCUCGUGACCAGACUUGGGCGCGGCGGAUCAUCCGGGGUUCUCCCCGGUGCACUUCGCCGCGCCCGGGCCAGCAUCAGCUCGGCGCGGGGGAAAAAGGCCUCGGGAACGUGGCUCCUCCGGGAGUGUUAUAGCCCGUUGCGUAAUACCCUGCGGUGGGCUGAGGACCGCGCAUCUGCAAGGAUGCUGGCGUAAUGGUCACCGGCGACCCGUCUUGAAACACGGACCAAGGAGUCGUCCUCGUAUGCGAGUGUUCGGGUGUCAAACCCCUACGCGUAAUGAAAGUGAACGCAGGUGAGAGCUUCGGCGCAUCAUCGACCGAUCCUGAUGUUCUCGGAUGGAUUUGAGUAAGAGCAUACGGGGCCGGACCCGAAAGAAGGUGAACUAUGCCUGUAUAGGGUGAAGCCAGAGGAAACUCUGGUGGAGGCUCGCAGCGGUUCUGACGUGCAAAUCGAUCGUCAAAUAUGGGCAUGGGGGCGAAAGACUAAUCGAACCUUCUAGUAGCUGGUUUCCGCCGAAGUCUCCUCUCAGAAUAA